UCCGAUAAAUGGUGCGCAGUUCCUGGCU
rnacentral:sRNA from 1 species